AUUGAACGCUGGCGGCAGGCCUAACACAUGCAAGUCGAGCGAGCGGCGGACGGGUGAGUAAUGCCUGGGAAUUGCUAAGUCGAGGGGGAUAACAGUUGGAAACGACUGCUAAGACCGCAUACGAUGGGAUGGCCCAGGUGGGAUUAGCUAGUUGGGGAGGGAAUGGCCCACCAAGGCGACGCUCCCUAGCUGGUCUGAGGGGAUGAUCAGCCACACGGGAACUGAGACACGGUCCAGACUCCUACGGGAGGCAGCAGUGGGGAAUAUUGCACAAUGGGCGAAAGCCUGAUGCAGCCAUGCCGCGUGUGUGAAGAAGGCCUUCGGGUUGUAAAGCACUUUCAGCGAGGAGGCGUUACUCGCAGAAGAAGCACCGGCUAACUCCGUGCCAGCAGCCGCGGUAAUUC
rnacentral:rRNA from 1 species